UACAUGGGGUGCAAACGUUGCUCGGAAUUAUUGGGCGUAAAGCGCACGUAGGCGGUUUGUUAAGUCGGAUGUGAAAUCCCUCGGCUUAACCAAGGAAGUGCAUCCGAAACUGCAGAGCUUGAGUACUUAAGAGGAUCGCGGAAUUCCCGGUGUAGAGGUGAAAAUUCGUAGAUAUCGGGAGGAACACCAGUGGCGAAGGCGGCGAUCUGGGAAGAUACUGACGCUGAGGUGCGAAAAGCGUGGGGGAGCAAACAGG
rnacentral:rRNA from 1 species